rnacentral:rRNA from 1 species
CCGCCCGUCACAUCACGAAAGUGGGCUGUACUAGAAGUCACUGAGCUAACCCGCAAGGGGGGCAGGUGCCGACGGUAUGGCUCAUGAUUGGGGUG